AGGCCCGUCGGUUAAUGGUAAACCACUGCUCUCCAAAAGCAGCACUGGGGGUUCAAGUCCCUCCGGGCCUGCCU
rnacentral:tRNA from 1 species